UCUUGGCUAGUAUAUCGGUUAGUACACGCGCUUGUCACGUCUUGCGUAUGCAACGUAAUCAAUUCGCGCGAAAGCUGGGUUCGACUCCCAGGUCGAGAG